rnacentral:rRNA from 1 species
AACGAACGCUGGCGGCAGGCCUAACACAUGCAAGUCGAGCGAGGACUUCGGUUCUAGCGGCGGACGGGUGAGUAACGCGUGGGAAUGUGCCCUUCUCUACGGAAUAGCCCUGGGAAACUGGGAGUAAUACCGUAUACGCCCUAUUGGGGAAAGAUUUAUCGGAGAAGGAUCAGCACGCGUUGGAUUAGGUAGUUGGUGGGGUAAUGGCCUACCAAGCCGACGAUCCAUAGCUGGUUUGAGAGGAUGAUCAGCCACACUGGGACUGAGACACGGCCCAGACUCCUACGGGAGGCAGCAGUGGGUAAUCUUAGACAAUGGCGGCAACCCUGAUCGAGCCAUGCCGCGUGAGUGAUGAAGGCCUUAGGGUUGUAAAGCUCUUUCAGCUGGGAAGAUAAUGACGGUACCAGCAGAAGAAGCCCCGGCUAACUCCGUG